GUCCUGAGCAAGACGAAAAACUGCUCACCGCCAGACAUCGCAUCACUUGAUCAUUGAUGGCUCAACAGUAUCAGGUGGAACAAGUAAAUAAUGUAGUAGCUGCCUUUUGAGUGGGUUAGCUGCAAUCCGAAACGGAGAACUUCGUUUGGAAUGCGGUGCUUUUGUUAUGCCCAUUUUGCAGCUGACCA
rnacentral:ncRNA from 1 species